rnacentral:misc_RNA from 1 species
UAGACAGUAAAAGCUCUAAGCAAAAAUAUAUCUUUUAUAAAGGCUCAUCGUUUGAUGCUUGAACCUAAACAAACAAAAUCUAAAAACAAUCAUGCAUUCUGUGUUCUGCUGUCGUUCUUCCAUUUUUAUGAAAAUGCUUUGAAAUAGAAUCAUUAAUAUUAACUUUAAUCAUUAUAUUUGAGAAGAAAGAAAUAAUUAUAGUUUUUAUAAUGUUUGAGAAUAUAAAUAUUUAGUUCAAAAGAUUAAUAUUCAUUUAUUGUGAAAAUGAAUAGAAAAAUUAAAGCUGUCGCCGAUAAGAAAAAUUAUGGAAAUCAGCCGUCUAUUUCCAAGUUUUUUUCGGCAGAAUCCACUCCUAUAUCGCGAAGACGAAAGAUUGAUGAAACGCCAGAUAAUAUCCAAAAUGUACCAUUGAAAAAAAACCCAAAGCUACACCCUGAAGCAACUGCAUCUGAUUCUUCUUCAAAUUAUGAACUCACUGAAUCUACCAUUGCUCGAAUAAAAUCAUACUCAGCAAGAAAUAAUGUUGAAGGUCCAAGGAAAGCUGAAAUUGAAAAAUAUGAUGGAGUUCUAUCUGAAAAAAGUCCAUCACAUUGUAUGGUUGUUGCUCCAAAGAAACGUUCUUCAACUUUAGAAAAGGAAUCACAAAAUUGCUUCACGAAGGAUGUUAAAUACACUCCAUUGGAGAAACAAUAUUUAGAAUUUAAGCAUAAUUAUCCUGAUGCAAUAUUGCUGAUUGAAUGUGGUUACAAAUACAAGUUUUUUGACGAAGAUGCCGAAAUUGCAUCCAAAAUAUUGAAUAUUGCCUGCUUUCCAAAUCAUAACUUCAUGACUGCCAUAAUUCCUGUACAGCGCAUGUUUUACCACGUGAAAAAAUUGGUACUCAAAGGUUAUAAAGUUGGGGUCAUUAAACAAACAGAAACUGCCGCUUUAAAAGCUGCCAGUGACAAAAAGAAUGAACUCUUUUCUAGAGAGCUUUAUGCACUUUACACUAGAACUACUUUGAUUGGUGAAGAAUUUCAAACUCUUGAAGGUGAUAGUGAUUUAGACAAUAAGGAAGUAUAUGAUGCUGAUAUAAACUCAAGAUGUCUGGUAUGUGUCUUUGAGACUUCUUCAAAAGAUAGAAAAGGAUGUCAAAUUAGUUUAGUGGGUGUAAACCCGUCUUCUGGUGAUUUAUGGUAUUCCUCAUUUGACGAUGAGCUGCCACUCAGGAACAGACUUGAAAGCUGUUUGCAUCAGUUGAGCCCUUCAGAAAUUUUAUUACCUUCUGAAAUCAGUAAAGAAACAGAUAGUCUCAUUAAUGGUUACUGUUAUGAGAGGUCAGCUAGACUGGAAAAAAUGAAAGCUAACUUUUUUGAAUUUUCAUCAGCAUUGGAAAAGGUUUCAAGGUUUUAUAAUCAAGCAGCUGUUUCUGAAGAAUCGCCUUCCAAAGAUAGUAUCAUGCAGAAAAUAUUAUCUCUUCCUUCUGGGAUAGUUUCCUGUUUGUCAGCUAUUGUUGAAUACUUAUCAAGCUUCAAACUGGAGAGCAUUAUGAAUAAUAUUAUAGACAUGAAACCAUUAGUAUGUGAAGAAUUCAUGGUUUUGACUGCAGCAACAUUAAAAGGUUUGGAAAUCAUGAGAAAUAACAUCUCCCAUUCAGAACAUGGAAGUCUUUUUUGGGUGUUGAAUAAAACCUUCACAAAAUUUGGUGAAAGAUUGCUAAAAUCAUGGAUUUCAAAGCCACUCAAGAAUAUAGGGGGGAUUGAGGAAAGGCUAGAUAUUUUGAGUGAGAUUCUGUAUUCAGAAACUGUUGUUUACAAAGCAGUUGGAAAACUGCUUAACAAGUUGCCAGAUUUAGAAAGGGUUCUUUGCUCAGUUUUUUAUCAAAAGUGCUCAUGUUGUGACUUUCUGAAGCUUACUGAAGCUCUUACAAAAAUUUACAUGGAGCUCAGUUCUAUAUCUGAUAAAAUAAAGAGUGAAAUCAAAGUACCUCGAAUUAAGCAUAUUCUCUCUGAUAUCACACGUUUGUUGAGUGAUGUGGAAAAGUAUUUGCUAAAUAUAGAUCCUGAAGCAGCAAAGACUGGUGACAAAACCAAAAUCUUUCGUGACUUAUCUAUGUUUCCUGAGUUGGAAAGAUGUAAAGAUGAAAUUUCCAAUUUGGAAGACAAGUUAAAUGAGUUGAAACCUGAUAUAUGUAAAACCUUAAGACUGAUAAGCAUUAAAUAUGCCACAGUUGCUGGGCAAAAGUUUUUAAUUGAAGUUCCUAAUAGUAAUUUGAGCCGUGUCCCAAAAGAUUGGAUAAAAGUUAGUGCGACAAAGCAGGUUUCUCGCUUUCGUUCUCCAGAAAUCAUUAAAUACUGCAAGCAACUAGAUCAACAAAAUGAGCUCUUGUUCAUGCAUGCAAAUGAAGCCUGGUGUAAAUAUCUAAAUGAGUUUGGAAAGAAUUUUUACAAGUACAAAAGGGCUAUAUCAUAUUUAGCUGAACUGGAUUGCUACCUAAGCUUUGCUCAAGUGUCAAGAGAAGAAAAAUUUUGCAGGCCUCACCUUUCUGAAACUGACAAUAGAAUAUUCAGUGUUGUUCAAGGUCGUCAUCCAGUAUUGACAAAACUUAUUGAAGAGAAGCAAUUUGUUGCCAAUGACAUCCUUAUGAAUUGCGCUAAUAAUUGUGUAAUUGUUACUGGUCCGAACAUGGGUGGAAAGAGUACAUAUGUGCGCCAAACUGCUUUAAUCGCUCUGAUGGCACACAUUGGCUGUUAUGUUCCUGCUGAUUCCGCAACAGUUCCUAUUUUUGAUAAUAUAUAUGUAAGAAUGGGAGCUGAUGAUGACCUUAUCAACAGAAAAAGUACUUUUAUGGUAGAAAUGUGUGAAGCUUCGGAAAUCUUGUGCUGUGCUACUUCCAAAUCUUUUGUAGUUCUUGAUGAAUUAGGUAGAGAUUGGAUGUUUAACUGUAUUUGUGACACAUUAUCCUGAAAUUCUUGAGCUUAAACAGCGGUUUCCUGAUAAAGUUUGUACUGUCACUAUGGCUUACAUUUUAAAAGACAAAAAUGAUGACAGUGAUAUAGACAGCGUUACCUUUCUCUUCAAUGUGAUCAGCGGAAUAAGUGACAAGAGUUACGGAAUUAAUGUUGCUGCUCUUGCGGGGAUCCCAAAACAUAUUUUAAAUGAAGCCCAUGAAAUCUCACAAAUUCG